UGCAUGUCUAAGUACAGUCGUGUUUACACGGCGAUACCGCGGACGGCUCAUUAAAUCAGUCGUGGUCCAAAUGGGUCCGUCCUCACGGUAUACUUGGAUAACCGUGGUAAUUCCAGAGCUAAUACAUGCAACUCAUAUCCCGAGGUGCUCGCAAGAGCACCGACGGAAGCACUUAUUAGACCAAUGCCCAACGGCGUGGUGCGCCUUGUGCGCGCGCACUGCCGCCGCCCGCAUAAAUGGUGACUCUGGAUAAUUACUUGGACGAGCGCACGUAUCUGUUCAAGCAGAACGGCGCCGCCUCUUUCGAGUGUCUGCCUUAUCAGCCAUCAAUCGCUCGUUAUGUGCGAACGAUGGCCUUGACGGGUAACGGGGAAUCAGGGUUCGAUUCCGGAGAGGCAGCCUGAGAAACGGCUACCACG
rnacentral:rRNA from 1 species